UACGUAGGGUGCGAGCGUUGUCCGGAAUUAUUGGGCGUAAAGAGCUCGUAGGCGGUCAGUCGCGUCUGCUGUGAAAACUCGGGGCUUAACUCCGGGCCUGCAGUGGGUACGGGCAGACUAGAGUGCGGUAGGGGAGACUGGAAUUCCUGGUGUAGCGGUGAAAUGCGCAGAUAUCAGGAGGAACACCGGUGGCGAAGGCGGGUCUCUGGGCCGUAACUGACGCUGAGGAGCGAAAGCGUGGGGAGCGAACAGG
rnacentral:rRNA from 1 species